rnacentral:rRNA from 1 species
AGUGAACGCUGGCGGUAGGCCUAACACAUGCAAGUCGAACGGCAGCACAGUAAGAGCUUGCUCUUACGGGUGGCGAGUGGCGUACGGGUGAGGAAUACAUCGGAAUCUACUUUUUCGUGGGGGAUAACGUAGGGAAACUUACGCUAAUACCGCAUACGACCUACGGGUGAAAGCAGGGGAUCUUCGGACCUUGCGCGAUUGAAUGAGCCGAUGUCGGAUUAGCUAGUUGGCGGGGUAAAGGCCCACCAAGGCGACGAUCCGUAGCUGGUCUGAGAGGAUGGUCAGCCACACUGGAACUGAGACACGGUCCAGACUCCUACGGGAGGCAGCAGUGGGGAAUAUUGGACAAUGGGCGCAAGCCUGAUCCAGCCAUACCGAGUGGGUGAAGAAGGCCUUCGGGUUGUAAAGCCCUUUUGUUGGGGAAGAAAAGCAGCAGGUUAAUACCCCGCUGUUCUGACGGUACCCAAAGAAUAAGCACCGGCUAACUUCGUG